rnacentral:rRNA from 1 species
UAGGGAAUCUUCCGCAAUGGGCGAAAGCCUGACGGAGCAACGCCGCGUGAGUGAUGAAGGUCUUCGGAUCGUAAAACUCUUUUAUUAGGGAAGAACAAAUGUGUAAGUAACUAUGCACGUCUUGACGGUACCUAAUCAGAAAGCCACGGCUAACUACGUGCCAGCAGCCGCGGUAAUACGUAGGUGGCAAGCGUUAUCCGGAAUUAUUGGGCGUAAAGCGCGCGUAGGCGGUUAGAGAAGUCUGAAGUUAAAGGCGGUGGCUCAACCAUUGGAGGCUUUGGAAACUGGUUAACUUGAGUGCGGAAGGGGAGAGUGGAAUUCCAUGUGUAGCGGUGAAAUGCGUAGAUAUAUGGAGGAACACCGGGGGCGAAAGCGGCUCUCUGGUCUGUAACUGACGCUGAGGGUCGAAAGCGUGGGGAGCGAAAAGG